rnacentral:lncRNA from 1 species
UCAUGUCCAAGUGUCCUUUAUUCAUUGGUUCUCUUUUAAGUCUUUUAGUCCAUGUCCUUGCUGUCAAUUUUCAUUUCAAGUCUUUAGUCAGGGGCAUUUUCGUCCUACUUGGUUAAAAGGGACACCUCACCAUUUGGUACACCUAGAAACCCUAAUUUUACAUAGUAUAUAUAGACCAACAUUUAUUGCUCAUUGUUCACGAACUGACACAACAGCAGCCGCUCCGACCGCCCUAAUACUUCUUCUCCGACCGCUCAAACCACUAGUAAUUUUAGGUUCAUUUACUCGAGAGUUUGCUUGGGAUCCAAUGUCCCUUGUAAACUUCUCAUUUUUUUUAUCACGUUACGUCGUUGCGUUUAGUUUUUUUUAGCUUGCGUUUAACUUAAAAAAAUCUUUUUACCAAAAAAAUCAAAUACAUCAAACUUCAAGAGUGUUUUCUUAUUAAACUUUGGAUUUUAACCCAAUUGUUUUUCCUUUUUUUUCUUAAUCAAAUGUUUAAUCAAUUUAAUAUCUAUAUUAGAUUUGGGUUUCUUAUAAUUAAAAUUUGACCAACCUCAUCUUAUUUUCUCUCAUGCCUUGAGGCCUCUUAUCUCUUCUUAAAACAUUUUUUUUCAAAAAUGUUAAAAUCAAUCUAACCCACCAAAAAUAAUUUUUUUGAGAGAGAACUACUUGAUUUUGAUCCCUCUUGAGAGUACGUAGGCAAAUGAUUUAUCCUUACAAAAUCAAAUAACAACAACAAAAAAAACAUAUUUCUUCUACCCCCAUUCUUCCACCUAGACUCUUAGCAAUAAUUUUCAAAUAAGCAAAAUAAUUUAGCACAAGAUAAUUUAGGCAAGAGGUUCCUACGGAAUACCAUAGACGCUUAGGGUUCUAGCACCUUCCCUUCGCGUAACCAACCUCUGAAUUCAAAGUCUAGGGUUUUUACUCACUUUUUCCCUUCCCACGAAUAAAAGUUGAGAGUUCAAAGAUUGACGAUUCAAAUCAAUUAAUGGUUUGAUAUCCGAAAAUCAAGAGCACAGAAAUGGCGACUUCACUGGGGAUUUAAAUUCUACGCGGGUUAAACCCACCUUACUUUCUUUAUAUUUGUGCUUUUUUUUAUUUGUUUAUACUUUGUAAAUAUUUGCUUACAUGUUUACCUUAUUACGUGAGGGGUGAGAAAAUAAGUCCUAAACCCGGGCUUGAGUGAAAUAUAGGAUUAGGACGGGGUACAAUCAUAGUGCCAUACCAGGAGCGGUCCUGCGAUAUGUGUACACGUGAUAUAAAUCCACUCAACGUAGGUCUUUCAAAAGUAAUAAUAUGUCGUCAUGAGCAGUCGUGAUUGGCGUUAUUAUUUUUAAAGUCCGCUAAAAGUUGAGAACCUUUAGAUCACCCUUAACCCAUCUUGGCCUUUUUAGGACGUAGUGCGGUGGAUAAACCAAGAGCAGUCUUGAAUUUAGUCGAUACGCAAUACUACACUCAAACUGGACCUCCUUGUGAAUGCUAUUUGACUAGGAGCAGUCCUGAGCACCGAUACAUUCACAAGGGUGGUUGUAAUUUGGGAACUUGGUAGAACUCGUGAUACAGGUACAUAUGAAACCAUAGUCCUUACCAAAUGACGUUGUUACCCUUGACUCCAACAUUGUGGACUUAACUUCACCAUGUUUUCUAUGUUCUUUAGCAUAAUCAUGCAUACAUGCAUUCAUCCAUAAAUAUUUUUUUCCAUCCAUUAAAAUUUAAGGACUUAGACAAGUUUUUUGUAAACAUCAUGAAUAUGGAUUUUGUAAGAAUGAACACCAAAAGAGAUACAACUUCAAAAAUCUUAACUAAGCUUUCGCUUUCAUUAAGAACUUUUUCCUUGGUUUCGUUCUUACCUGUUGAAAAAGGAAUCGUUUGCGACAUCUUUACAAUUUUCAAAAUAAAACCAUGUUCCUCAGCCAUGUUUAUGAUGAGUCAUUUAUUACCUAUUUCUAGAUAUUAUUUAGUUUAGUUUUAAUUAGAUUUUAGUUUAUUUUAUAUUAAUAUUAUUUCCUUUUUAAGAUAGUUUACUACAAAUUGCAUUUUAUUAUAUUUCAGGAAUGAAUAUUGGAUGGAUUGAGUCUUGGAGCAAAAGAAANNNNN